UAAGUGAUUCCAAGUGAAAAGAGGGUGAAACAGUUAAAGAGAAGUAGAAACAAGAAGUUGGAAUUUCUGAACAGCUUUGUUACUCCACAGUUUUGAGGCGACUUUUCGACGUUGAGCGAAAAAAGGAAUUGAUACACACUCCAUAGGAGCUUACACACAUAAAGGCGAAAGGUGAACAUGGAACUACAUAGAUAGCAUGGCUAGUUGUGGAGCUCCUAUAGGAUUCCAGAGUUCGAUGUACAUGGAUGACGACCUGUAGGGUUAUUUUGUAGGCUGCCAUCUGUAGGGUUA